rnacentral:rRNA from 1 species
CGCGGCUAUCUGCAGUCGAGGGGCAUCGCAGGUAGCAAUACUGGGCGGCGACCGGCAAACGGGUGCGGAACACGUACGUAACCUUCCUUUAAGUGGGAGAUAGCCCGAAGAAAUUCGGAUUAAUACCCCAUAAGAUCAUAGAGUGGCAUCACUUAGUGAUUAAAGAAUUUCGCUUAAAGAUGGGCGUGCGGCUGAUUAGGUAGUUGGUGAGGUAACGGCUCACCAAGCCAACGAUCAGUAACUGGCGUGAGAGCGCGACCAGUCACACGGGCACUGAGACACGGGCCCGACUCCUACGGGAGGCAGCAGUAAGGAAUAUUGGUCAAUGGACGGAAGUCUGAACCAGCCAUGCCGCGUGAAGGAUGAAGGUCCUCUGGAUUGUAAACUUCUUUUAUAUGGGAAGAAACCACUUUUAUCUAAAGGUGUUGACGGUACCAUAGGAAUAAGCACCGGCUAACUCCGUGCCAGCAGCCGCGGUAAUACGGAGGGUGCAAGCGUUAUCCGGAUUCACUGGGUUUAAAGGGUGCGUAGGCGGAUUGGUAAGUCCGUGGUGAAAUCUCCGAGCUUAACUCGGAAACUGCCAUGGAUACUAUUAGUCUUGAAUAUUGUGGAGGUUAGCGGAAUAUGUCAUGUAGCGGUGAAAUGCAUAGAUAUGACAUAGAACACCAAUUGCGAAGGCAGCUGGCUACACAAAUAUUGACGCUGAUGCACGAAAGCGUGGGGAUCAAACAGGAUUAGAUACCCUGGUAGUCCACGCCCUAAACGAUGAUUACUCGACAUUUGCGAUAUACAGUAAGUGUCUGAGCGAAAGCAUUAAGUAAUCCACCUGGGAAGUACGACCGCAAGGUUG